rnacentral:rRNA from 1 species
AUUGAACGCUGGCAGCAUGCUUUACACAUGCAAGUCGAACGGUAACAGGCCGCAAGGUGCUGACGAGUGGCGAACGGGUGAGUAAUGCAUCGGAACGUGCCCAGUCGUGGGGGAUAACGCAGCGAAAGCUGCGCUAAUACCGCAUACGAUCUAUGGAUGAAAGCGGGGGACCGUAAGGCCUCGCGCGAUUGGAGCGGCCGAUGUCAGAUUAGGUAGUUGGUGGGGUAAGGCUCACCAAGCCAACGAUCUGUAGCUGGUCUGAGAGGACGACCAGCCACACUGGGACUGAGACACGGCCCAGACUCCUACGGGAGGCAGCAGUGGGGAAUUUUGGACAAUGGGCGCAAGCCUGAUCCAGCAAUGCCGCGUGCAGGAAGAAGGCCUUCGGGUUGUAAACUGCUUUUGUACGGAACGAAACGGUCCUGGUUAAUACCUGGGGCUAAUGACGGUACCGUAAGAAUAAGCACCGACUAACUACGUGCCAGCCGCCGCCGUAAUAC